rnacentral:pre_miRNA from 1 species
UUUACAUUUUGAGCAAAACUCACGAGGUCUCACAAUGACCGUAACAGUUACUUACGGUCAUUGUGAGACCUCGUGAGUUUUGCUCAAAAUUAUAAAGAA